rnacentral:rRNA from 1 species
GAUGAACGCUGGCGGCGUGCCUAAUACAUGCAAGUCGAGCGAACGGACGAGAAGCUUGCUUCUCUGAUGUUAGCGGCGGACGGGUGAGUAACACGUGGAUAACCUACCUAUAAGACUGGGAUAACUUCGGGAAACCGGAGCUAAUACCGGAUAAUAUUUUGAACCGCAUGGUUCAAAAGUGAAAGACGGUCUUGCUGUCACUUAUAGAUGGAUCCGCGCUGCAUUAGCUAGUUGGUAAGGUAACGGCUUACCAAGGCAACGAUGCAUAGCCGACCUGAGAGGGUGAUCGGCCACACGGGAACUGAGACACGGUCCAGACUCCUACGGGAGGCAGCAGUAGGAAAUCUUCCGCAAUGGGCGAAAGCCUGACGGAGCAACGCGGCGGGAGUGAUGAGGGUCUUCGGAUCGUAAAACUCUGUUAUUAGGGAAGAACAUAUGUGUAAGUAACUGUGCACAUCUUGACGGUACCUAAGCAGAAAGCCACGGCUAACUACGU